UCCCUGGUAGCUCAGACGGUAAAGCGUCUGCCUACAGUAUGGAAGACCCAGGUUUGAUUCCUGGGUUGGGAA
rnacentral:tRNA from 1 species